UCAACUGGCUACUGCUCCUGCCUAAACACCGAGCCUGCACAGACAGGUGUUGGCACCAGCAUAGCCGACAUACAAACCUAAUUACACAAUACUCCGUCCAGAAGGAGAGAAAAUAACUUGGUGGAUGGCUAUUACUAGAGAACUUCAUGUAAAUUACUUCAAACAUCUUAUAAUCUUCAACACAAAAAUUGUUCAAAUACGUCUCCUGAAAACUAGUCUGUCAACAUACUUAGAACACUCAGAUGCAACUGAACUUUCCUGUACAAUGCUGAACUUCAGAUAACAAUAAAACAAAGUCAAACUAUCUCAACAAUCGCUGCAAACUACAUACAUCCAUUUAACUGACUGCUGCCAAUCCUAGGAUAGCUCCAGCUUGGGUCUGACUUAGAAGGAAAAAAGCAAGCAAUAUCGGACUAAGUCAAAUUAAUGACAGAACAGCACCAGGAACUACAUGCUCUCUCCUGGGACUGGGCACACCCAACCCUCCAGUGACAAAACAGAACUAAAGCAGAAGU